rnacentral:rRNA from 1 species
UACGUAGGUGACCAGCGUUGUCCGGAUUUACUGGGCGUAAAGAGCGCGCAGGCGGUCGUUCAAGUCGAGUGUGAAAGCCCCCGGCUCAACUGGGGAGGGUCAUUCGAUACUGAUCGACUCGAAGGCAGGAGAGGGAAGCGGAAUUCCCGGUGUAGUGGUGAAAUGCGUAGAUAUCUGGAGGAACACCGGUGGCGAAGGCGGCCUUCUGGACAGUGACUGACGCUGAGACGCGAAAAGCGUGGGGAGCAAACAGG